AAGCAAAGGGUGGAAUGAUCACUAUUUAGAAAAGAAUGACAUGAACAAAGGAACCAACUGAUGCAC
ensembl:snoRNA SNORD42 Small nucleolar RNA SNORD42